rnacentral:lncRNA from 1 species
AGAAAAUAUGUUUUGCUGAAAGCAUUACUUUUUGUUUCUUUCUAUUUCCUUUUAUUGUUAUUCAUUUUUAUCAUUAAAUUCAUCCCACAUAUCGAUGCAUCGUUGGAUGUUUAUAAAUUUCUUGAAAAGAAGUCAAUAUGUUGAGAGUGAGAAUAACAUUACUCCCUCCUUUUUAUGCAAUAUUUUCUUUUUUCUUUUUAUUUUUUUUAUUUUUUU